CUCGCGAGAAAAAAAAACACUCCUACGGAGGCAGCAGUGGGGAAUAUUGCACAAUGGACGAAAGUCUGAUGCAGCAACGCCGCGUGGAGGAUGACACAUUUCGGUGCGUAAACUCCUUUUAUAUGAGAAGAUAAUGACGGUAUCAUAUGAAUAAGCACCGGCUAACUCCGUGCCAGCAGCCGCGGUAAUACGGAGGGUGCAAGCGUUAUUCGGAAUCACUGGGCGUAAAGGGUGCGUAGGCGGUUUGGAAAGUCAGAUGUGAAAGCCUACAGCUUAACUGUAGAACUGCAUUUGAAACUUCCAGACUAGAAUACUGAAGGGGCAGAUGGAAUUAGUGGUGUAGGGGUAAAAUCCGUAGAUAUCACUAGGAAUACCUAAAGCGAAAGCGAUCUGCUGGGAAGUUAUUGACGCUGAGGCACGAAAGCGUGGGGAGCAAACGGGAUUAGAUACCCCGGUAGUCCACGCCCUAAACGUUGUCCGCUGGCUUUUCGGAGUAUCGACCCUUCGAGAAGGCGAAAGCUAACGCGUUAAGCGGACCGCCUGGGUAAGUACGAUCGCGAAGGAAUGAA
rnacentral:rRNA from 1 species